CUGGUUUAAAAUCCAGAAUAUAUAAAGAAGUCCAACAACUCAACCACAAAAAGGCGAAAACCCAAUUUUACAGUGGGCAACAAACUUGAAUAGACAUUUCUCCGAAGAAGAUAUACAAAUGGUCAAUAAGCACAUGAAAAGUUGCUUGACAUCGUUAGUCAUUAGGGAAAUGCAAAUCAAAACCGCAAUGAGAUGUCACUUCACACCAAUUAGGAUGGCUAUAAUUUUGGACAAUAGCAGUUAUUGGAGAGGGUGAGAAGAAAUCGGAACACUUGCACAUUGCUGUUGAGAUCAUAACAUGGUGCAGCCGCUGUGGAAGCAGCCUGGCAGUUCCUCAAAAAGUUACACAUCGAAUUUCCAUAUAAGCCAGCAAUUCCGCUCCUAGGUAUAGACCCAAAAGAUUUAAAAAGAGGCACUCAAACACAUGCUUGUCCAGGAGCGUUCGUAGCGGCACUGUUCACAACAGCCACAAGGUGGCAACAACCCAAGUGUCCAUCCACAGAGGAACGGAUAAACAAAUUGUGGUCUAUCCACAUAGUGGAAUAUAAUUCAGCCAUAAAAAGGAAUGAAAUGCAUGGGCUACAGCAUGGAUGAGCCUUGAGGGCCCGUGAACCCGCCCUGGCAUAGCUGAGGGCUGGGGGGCGCCGGGCAGCAGCUGGGCAUCUAGGUGUGCCCGGGGGAUGCACUGAAGAGAGGAGAGCAGGUGGAGGAUCGCACUGGGGUCAGGGCAGCUGAGGCGGACACUGUCGCUGUCCGAGCCGGCAACCAUUCCCAAUUCCUCCUCCCUUGCUGCUUCAUCACUGCUGAACAGUGGAGCCUGUUCCAGCCCCCACGCUGGCCAAUGGGACUUAAGGGGAAGUCUGCUGGGGGCUCCGAAACCUUUAGUUCUCCUGACAAAAGAGAAAGCCUUGGCUGGCCAGCACCACCCAGGGCUCCCUGACUUUGCCUCCAACACUCUGUCAAGUCUGCAGCUGCAAUAGCCAUUGAGCAAAGACAGGGGGCAAGCAUGAGACCCAAAAGCCAGCAGCCUGAGUAGGACAGUGCAGAAGUAGAAGCAUGGGCCCUCCACGACACACCAGCCAGCACCCGCCCCCUCCAGACUUCCCGUCACCGAGAACAUCCCCGGCCGAGCCAGGUACCCAACAUCCCUCCCCAGCGCCAGGAACUCCUCCCCCAGACUCCUCCCCCGGACUCCUCCCCGAAACAAGGCCUGUCUCCUCUCAGUGCUACUGCCACCAAAGCCACUCUCUUGUCACCCCCCAACGCCACUGUCCUCCUAUAUAACACACACCCACACCUCUCCCCAGCCUGAGCCCCGCCUCAGCCAGGCCCAGCUCAGGCCAAACGCCAGCUCACAGCAUUCUCAAGGGCUCCUGGGAGAUGCUGCCAGACCAAGCACACGGGACCACACCCCCUGCCCCAUUCUGCGCUCAGCCAUGGCCACCCUGGGCUCAGCUCCAUGCAUCCUGUCCAGGAAGGAGACGACAGAGCUGCUGAUGGUGACUGUCCCGUGCAUCUGGCACGGAGCUUUUCCUUCACUGCACAUCUGAUUCUUGCCUACAAGGUAGAUACUUUAUCUCCAUCUGACAGAGGGGGAAGCCGACGCUCAGAGCAGCUCUCUCGCCGGAGGUCACCGCCCGGGUCUUGACCAGGAAGCAUCCCCGUGCUCACUCCUGGGCCCCACAGGAGGAGACUGGAUUCCCGCUCAGCGGAUGCCGGGGAGCCUCAUGGAGCAACAAGGCUCCAGGUCCUUCUUCCCCUCCCUGCUCUGCGUCCUGCAGCAAACAGCCUGGACAGGCCCAGCGCAAGGCAGAAACUCCAUCAGCAAAGCUGAUUCUAGGGCCCUGCUCUUUCAGAGCUGUUCAGAGUCAAAAUGUCCCCGUUACCAGGCAACGCUGCUCAGCUGGAUUUAGAACACUGGAAAGCCUGGAACCCACCAUGGCUGCAAUAUCUGAGCGAACGGGGAGGGAGGGGGCGCUGCUGCUGGCUCGGUGGUCCAGUUGGGCCCAGGUGAAAGGCUGGGAUAAGAGCUGCCUCUAGGCUCUGAGCACUCACUUCCCUCGGGCCAAGAGUAGGGUGAGUGCCCUGUCGCCCUCAAUCCUCAACAUUGCCGUCUAGCUUGAUACCAUUGUUCUCACUUUACAAAUAAGGAAACUGAGGCCCGUGAAGUCACACCCCUGGCCCAAGGGCCCACAGCAGAUGAAACCCAGAUUCGGUUUUCCACCCAGAAUGUUGAAAGCUAUGCCUCCCACAGGGCUGACCCUUGGGCCACGCCAGGAUCGUCCUCAGCAAGUUCCAGCCAGUGGACCGCAAGGAGACUGACACGUCGCUUCCGAGCUGAGCCAGUUGAGAGCUGCCGGUGGGAGACGGAGAGAGCUGCUCCAUCUCAGUCCUCCCGACCACACGGACCCCGGGGGCCAUGUGCUCUAAAUGGAGGAGGGCUGCCCGUCCUCACGAGCCUUUAGGUGAGUGAGGAGCCAGCCUGGAUGGCGUUUAACCACCGAGACUCCAGGUUUGUCUGUUAUGGCAGCUGGUGUUAAAUACCCCGACACAUUCAGACCCCAGAGUUAGAAGAGAGCAAAGCAACUUGGUAUAUAGGAAGUGAUGGAAUGUCAUGCUUUCAAUAAAAAGUAAGCUGGC
ensembl:lncRNA